AGAAUAAGUCUGACGGGACUUCUGCGUCAGCCUUCGUCGGGUGUAGACGUCUCUCGCCUGAGUAUCAGUGACAAAUUUUCCCCUUUCUCUCUGGGACGCAUAUCCUCAUCUAUUUUACCCGCCGGGCACUCUACAGGAAUGGCACCUGUUCAUCAGCUUACUUUAGCCAGCUCCAUUUUUUCCGCUCUGCGCAUAAUUCUUUAACGGUCUUUGGUGGGAAGCCGGUUUCUGUACUCAGGUAGAGGUGUAGGCGUCCAUCUCUGCUUGACAAGGGCAUCCACCAGAUCUAAUUGAAAACUUCAAGUUUCUGUCUCCGUUUACAAGGGAACUUUUGUUCCUUUUCUCUCACCGUCCAGCCUUUUUUUUAGUUUAAUAUCUUUAUUAUGCACACCAUACCCAUCCUGUGGCGGUAGUCAAAAGAUUACAGAGGUACAUAAUGGGUCCAGGGACUGGACCUCAAAGGUUUGAUAGCUGAGCAAGUUACAAAGGUAAUGAAGUCACAAUUUACAAAGGUAAUGAAGUCACAAUUUACAAAGGUAAUGAAGUCACAAUUUACAAAGGUAAUAAACUCCAGGUAGGUCUGGUCACCGUCCAGCCUUGGACAACAAAUAUUGUUGGUACCAACGAGAAGCCGGACUCGAGACUUGUGCCCUCAGUGGCCCUUAUAAACCCAACAACAAUAACAAAUUUGGUGGAGAUUUUUUCCCUGGACACCGGAAGACAGUUCUCCAAAAUUCCUAAAUUAUCAGGUGGCUGCAAAAACCCCAAGAGGAGGAAGAAGACAGAGUAAUUUUGAAGAUGAGGAAGGUAGCAAGUGUACUGAUGAUGGCGGGUAACAUCCAGGGUGCAGCUGGAAGCAUCUUUGGUAGGUGUGUAGUACCAAGGAAGCUGGUACGGUCAACUCCAGCUUGUGGUUUCCGAAUCUCAGAGAAACUAUCUGCCAUUCCAUUGCUCAGAUCAAGUUUGUUGCCACAGAGGACCUUGUCUCCAAAAUUAUUCCAUACCGCCAGUCUUUCUUACUUAUCGGCAUCAGAUGAUCUAGCAGUGGGAGAGCCAGAUAAACUGUACAGCUUGGUAGAAGUAGAGUGUCGAGGCCACGACACUGCUGUACUGCGUUCCUACCUAACGUUUGUGUCUUCAGCAGCCAGCCAUCUGAAUGUUUCACUAGAGGAAAUCUUAUGGCCCAAGAAACACAUACACCGCUGGACCCUACUUAAAUCUGUACACAUCCACAAGCACCAUCGUGUGCAGUACGAAGUGCGGACACACUUUCUGAUAAUGAAGUUUGCAAGACUGACAGGUUCCACAACAGACACAUUUCUGGAAUAUAUACAGAGAAACCUUCCUGAAGGAGUGGCCAUGAAAGUCACCAAACACGAACUACACAGACUUCCAGAACAUGUGAAGCCAUCAUCUGAAGUGAUAGUCUAGUAAUGACAGCUCUCUAUGAAAGUACUCUUAUUGUAUAUAGUGCAAGUGGCAAGUGCUCUUAAAAUAUGCUGAUACAAUUCAGAUGACCCUCCGACUGCAACAUCCUCACUCCUCCAGAGUGCAGGCACUUUCCUUCCCACCACCAGGACUCUAAGUCUGGCAAACUUUUUUCUCUAAAUCUCUUCACGUUGGAGUGUGAGCAAUGUGAUAAGGUAAAUGUAUUAUUUAUUUCAAUUCCUCCAAAUUCUGUACAGUACUCCCUUUAACCCGUAAAUGGUCCAAACGUAUAUAUAUGUUUUAUGUGUCCUACAUUUAACAUUGCCACGAUAAGCCUGAGUCGCCUAGACAUGCGAGAAUGGGUGUGAGCACUCACUGUGCACCUGUGCACCAUAUUAAAAUAAUUGGGGAUGCCUGGGUACCAUAUGCUCUUUUUUCCUAUUAAAAAACAACAAUGCUUUUUUUCUCAAAAAAGUUGGGGCAGUACGGUAGUGAACGUAUAUAUACGUUUGGACCGUUUACGGGUUAAGGGAGUUUCCUUGAUGCUGAUGAAAGGCUCUUGGAAGUACACUUCUCUUCCUUGAAUUAAACCUGAUUACCUAACAUUUCUGAGUGUAUGAUCAUCCUCAGAGGUUGACCAUCCACUGGAAUAUAAUAAUUCUGGGUGAAGAGAUGAAGGUAAAUUCUUAUACUUUUUAUUUACUAGUACAUUUGAUUUUUGGACAUGAAUACAUCAUGCCAUCACUACCCAGUAUACAGUAUUACAAAUUUUAUUACAAUAAAUGUUUUGCAUUAUUUAGGUUUUUCAUAAUGUAGACAUUUUGAAGGGGUGGAAAAAAUAUACAUUAUAAUUUAAUGUAUUAAGUACAGCAAACAAACAAAAUCCUUAACUUCACUGCUGAAAAUAGAACAUAACUGCAACAACAAUAGAGUAUUACAAACUAAUAUAAUCACCUUCAUUAAAAUACAAAUAAUAAACAAUACUACAUUACAAAUAGUAUAAAGAAUUCUUUACAUCAGUACCAUAUGCAGUAUUUACAAAUGAAGGUAAAAGUCAAUAUUCUCAUAAUAUUGAUUGGUAAAUAACUGAUUAGGGAUGGGUCGAUACCAGAUUUCUUGCCAUGACCAAUACCAAUACAGGAAGGCUCCAUUUUACAGCACUUUGCUUUAGUGUAUUUCACUAAUACAGUAGUUGUCAAUUAUACCCAUUCUUCAUUUAUUCAGACUUUCUCACUACGUAUAAGCUAAGGACGAAAAUAUUUUAAAGUGAGUAAUGUGUACUGUAUAUCCAUUUUUUAGACCUAGCUCUAUUGCUCACUUAAUAUAUGAUAGGGUAAACAUGUUAUUAGGCUCUUAUAUGCAUUUGAAAGUGAAAAAAAAAAGGCUAAGAUUCACUUUACAGCAGUAGCCCAGAACUUAACCUGCUGUAUAAGCAGGGCCCUUCUGUAGUGAAUUUUAGGUCAAUACCAAUACUCUGGCACAACCCUGUAACUGAUACAAUGACAAAUAAUUGGAAAUAGGAUGUUAAUGUUAUCGAUAAAUUCUUCAGUAAUGUAUUCUGAUAGGUAAGUACCGGUUGCAUGUUGCAAAUAUGGUUUAUAAUGAG